rnacentral:tRNA from 1 species
CAGUAGUUAAACUCUACUAUKAAGGG